AUACAGAGGGUGCAAGCGUUAAUCGGAAUUACUGGGCGUAAAGCGCGCGUAGGCGGUUUGGUCAGUCGGAUGUGAAAGCCCCAGGCUCAACCUGGGAAUGGCAUUCGAUACUGCCUGACUAGAGUAUGGUAGAGGGAAGUGGAAUUUCCGGUGUAGCGGUGAAAUGCGUAGAUAUCGGAAGGAACACCAGUGGCGAAGGCGACUUCCUGGGCCAAUACUGACGCUGAGGUGCGAAAGCGUGGGGAGCAAACAGGAUUAGAUACCCCAGUAGUCC
rnacentral:rRNA from 1 species